UACGUAGGGUGCGAGCGUUGUCCGGAAUUAUUGGGCGUAAAGGGCUCGUAGGCGGUUUGUCGCGUCGGGAGUGAAAACACCGGGCUUAACUCGGUGCUUGCUUUCGAUACGGGCAGACUUGAGGCAUGCAGGGGAGAACGGAAUUCCUGGUGUAGCGGUGAAAUGCGCAGAUAUCAGGAGGAACACCAGUGGCGAAGGCGGUUCUCUGGGCAUGUUCUGACGCUGAGGAGCGAAAGUGUGGGGAGCGAACAGG
rnacentral:rRNA from 1 species